rnacentral:rRNA from 1 species
AAUUUUAAUAUUUAAUACAAUUUUUUUAGAAAAGAAACAUCAUUUAUAUUUAGUAACGGUGAAUGAAAUAAUUGUAUGUUAGUGCAUAAUCGUACCGCAUGGAAAAUUAUAAAUUUCUUUCAAGUAGAAUUUUGAUUUCGUACCUUUUGCAUCAUGGUUUAGCAAGAAAACUUUUUAAAUUAAAUCUCUCGAAACCUGAGGAGCUACCUUAAUUUUGGUUUAGCCCUAAAUAAAGGUGAGUGUGGCAUAACUCUAUUUAAAAUUUAAGGUAGAAAUUAAAUGUUAUUCGUUUUAGGUGAUAGCUAGUUAUAAUAUAAAGAUAUAUAAGUAUCGGAUAUAAUUUUACUAUGUGCUUAUAUUAUGCAUACAAUGAUUUAUUUUCUUGAUUAUGCGAGGGUAAGCUCGCAUAAACUUAAUUUAGCUAAAAUUAUAUAUAAAUCUAAGCUUGGAAUUAGCUAUGAUAACUGGAAUUUGUUAAAAAUACGUAUGUAUACAGGAACUUUGUAAUAUAUUAAAUUUAUAUUAUUUAAUCAUAUAAUCAGGGUAUGAUUAAUUUAUGCUAAAAUGAGUAUUAUUUUAUAGACUAAAACAAAAAAUAGAUUAAAUUUUUUUAAAAAUUUUUUAUAAAUAUUAUAAAAUAUAUCAUAGGAACUUGGCAAAACUUCAGCUCCGCCUGUUUAGCAAAAACAUGUCUCUUUGAAAGCAAAAUAUAGAGAGUCUGGCCUGCCCGG